rnacentral:rRNA from 1 species
CCUACGGGGGGCUGCAGUGGGGAAUAUUGCACAAUGGGGGAAACCUUGAUCCGGCAACGCCGCGUGACGGAUAAAGGCUUCGGGUCCGAAAACCCUGUCCCAAAGGGAAAAAUCCGGCGGGACCUUAAGGAGGAAGCCCCGGCAACCUACGUGCAGCAAGCCGCGGUAAUAGGUAGGGGCCUAGCGUUACCGGGAAUUCCUGGGGGUAAAGGGUGCGUAGGCGGCCCUUCAAGCCAGAGGUGAAGGGUAACGGCUCAACCGUAGUAAGCCUUUGAAACGGUAGGGCUUGAGUGCAGGAGAGGAGAGUGGAAUUCCCAGUGUAGCGGUGAAAUGCGUAGAUAUUGGGAGGAACACCAGUUGCGAAGGCGGCUCUCUGGACUGUAACUGACGCUGAGGCACGAAAGUGUGGGGAGCGAACAGGAUUAGAUACCCCUGUAGUC